rnacentral:rRNA from 1 species
AGCAGCCGCGGUAAUUCCAGCUCCAAUAGCGUAUAUUAAAGUUGUUGCAGUUAAAAAGCUCGUAGUUGAAUUUCGGGAUCAAUAUGUUGGUCGUGCCUUGGUACGUACUGGCAUUAUCGAUUCCUACCUUCUGAAGAAUCUCGAUGUCAUUAAUUUGGUGUCUUGGGGAAUCAGGACUGUUACUUUGAAAAAUUAGAGUGUUUAAAGCAGGCUCGCGCUUGAAUACAUUAGCAUGGAAUAAUGAAAUAGGACGUUUGAUUCUAUUUUGUUGGUUUCUAGGAUUGACGUAAUGAUUAAUAGGGAUAGUUGGGGGCAUUAGUAUUCAAUUGUCAGAGGUGAAAUUCUUGGAUUUAUUGAAGACUAACUACUGCGAAAGCAUUUGCCAAGGAUGUUUUCAUUAAUCAAGAACGAAAGUUAGGGGAUCGAAGACGAUCAGAUACCGUCGUAGUC